CUUGCCCCUAUGAAAAAUCCAUCUGCAGCUCAUGACACGUAUUCCAGGCACCCAGAAGGCUGGCUCCCAAUUGCCUGCUGGUCUCCUUUGCAUAUUUAAAUUUUCUAUACCCCAAUUGAUCUUGAGAAGGAAGCAGAGAGAGUUUGAGGCUGGCUAAACUAACCCAAACCUAGGAGGCAUGUAUUUAGCCCUGCCUUUGACUGACAUCUUUUUCAAUCAGCCACUCUAUGUGCACUGUUCUACAUGUAUAUAUGGGCACAUGCUUCCAGUACUUUUAUCUGGUCCUGAAGCAAUUAUAAAAAUGUGCAAGUCAUCACAGUAGUAUUAGGGAAACAAAACCACCAAAGGAAAAAAUGAACACAGAAGCUGAUCAAUUUUGAGAUGUCGGAUGAGAGUGAGAAGCUGAUUCUGAUGGGUGCCUGACUGGCAUCAGUUUGCACAGCAGGAGCUAGAUGGGAAGAAAACAGAUUGCAGUGCUUAGGAUCAUAUAUUAAAGGGCGAGUCUGCUUUCAAAAACAUAAACCCAAAAGU